ACAGCCACAUCACAUUGAAACACUGGUUUUCCUAAGAUCACUGAAGUUAAGCAACGUUGAGCCUUUUCAGUACUUAAAUGAGGACCACUUGGGAAUACCAGGUACUGUAA